rnacentral:rRNA from 1 species
UACAGAGGGUGCAAGCGUUAAUCGGAAUUACUGGGCGUAAAGCGUGCGUAGACGGUUAUGUAAGUCGGGUGUGAAAGCCCCGGGCUCAACCUGGGAAUGCCAUUCGAGACUGCAUAGCUAGGGUGCGGAAGAGGGAAGCGGAAUUUCCGGUGUAGCGGUAAAAUGCGUAGAUAUCGGAAGGAACACCAGUGGCGAAAGCGGCUUCCUGGUCCAGCACCGACGUUCAGGCACGAAAGCGUGGGGAGCAAACAGG